GAUGAACGCUGGCGGCGUGCCUAAUACAUGCAAGUCGAGCGAACAGACGAGGAGCUUGCUCCUCUGACGUUAGCGGCGGACGGGUGAGUAACACGUGGAUAACCUACCUAUAAGACUGGGAUAACUGCGAGAAACCGGAGCUAAUACCGGAUAAUAUAUUGAACCGCAUGGUUCAAUAGUGAAAGACGGUUUUGCUGUCACUUAUAGCUGGAUCCGCGCCGCAUUAGGUAGUUGGUAAGGUAACGGCUUACCAAGGCAACGGUGCGUAGCCGACCUGAGAGGGUGGAGGGCCCAGCGGGGAGUGGGGCACGGGUCGAACUUCCACCGGAGGCAACAGGUAGGGAAGGUACGCGAGGGGAAAAAUGCUGAAGGGGCAAAGGCCGGUUGGAGAUGAAAGGCUUCGGGUUGGAAAACCCUUGUAUUAGGGAAGAACAAAUGUGUAAGUAACUAUGCACGUCUUGACGGUACCUAAUCAGAAAGCCACGGCUAACUAC
rnacentral:rRNA from 1 species